UACGAAGGGGGCUAGCGUUGCUCGGAAUUACUGGGCGUAAAGGGCGCGUAGGCGGACAGUUUAGUCAGAGGUGAAAGCCCAGGGCUCAACCUUGGAAUAGCCUUUGAUACUGGCUGUCUUGAGUUCGGGAGAGGUGAGUGGAAUGCCGAGUGUAGAGGUGAAAUUCGUAGAUAUUCGGCGGAACACCAGUGGCGAAGGCGACUCACUGGCCCGAUACUGACGCUGAGGCGCGAAAGCGUGGGGAGCAAACAG
rnacentral:rRNA from 1 species